CUGGGUUUGUUUUUCUUUUCAGGGGGAGGGAUUUUUCCAGAUAAAGGAGCAUUUCCAGGUGAGGCUGCCUGGGAGAACUUUAGUGAGGAUAAACYAGCUCUUUCAGAUGAGGCCGAGUUCCAAAGGAUGACAGGUAAUUCCAAUGGGUCAUAAAGGAAACUAUACGCCUUUUUUGGCACUGCGACGCUCUGGAGCAYGGCACACAGCGAGGAUCCGGUGCGCACGCACAUGCAGCAGCAGAGAUCAAACUGGGGUUCUACAGGGCUUUCCAAAGGGAGCUGGCAGACCGAUCAGGAAUGUGCCAGUCCAGUCCACUCAAAGCCGAAUCAUGACCGAUGGAACGGUCUCAUCCAUCCAACACCAUGCGAUGUCAUGAAAACUCUCCAGCACUGAGGCGCAGUGACUUGUUCUUAAAAUCAGCUAUGAAAUAAACAAAGAUCUACGUUCUACCAAACAUUUAGGCUCAUCUGGUCCUCUCUAAUUAUGUUUUUUUAGCUAGCAACAUGAAGCACAACCACUAAUAGAAGAGUUGAAGACGACCUGCAGAUGGACUUGCCUCAGGGUGAACCUGUCUGAUGUGAUUUUUCCUAAGCAACAGGAAGCCACUGAAGAGAGACCAAAGCAGUCCACUGACCACCUCUACAGACUGCCUGAUUGUCCCGAGGCUUUACACACUAAACUGAAGGAGCCACAGCUGCAGUGAGGAAACUGCAGCUGGAGAAGUCCAAUGCCUUGGCAAGAGAAAGGAGGGCCACGAAAAACAUAUGUUCUGCAACAGGACUGGACACGAUGAUUUGAUUAAUUAAACAAAUCAGUCUUACUCAGA